rnacentral:rRNA from 1 species
CCCCCCCUGGGAAAAUUNCGGCCCGGCCAAAGGNCUNNAANCUUUAAAAGGAAAUUUGGCGGGGGGAGCCACUACCACCGGGUGGGAGCCCUGCGGUUUUAAAUUGAAUUCAACNCCGGNAAGCUUNCCGGGGAGACAGCGGGAUGAAGGUNCGGGCUGAAGACCCUACCAGACUAGCUGAGAGGUGGUGCAUGGCCGCCGUCAGUUCGUACUGUGAAGCAUCCUNUUAAGUCAGGCAACGAGCGAGACNCGCGCCCUCAGUUGCCAGCGGAUCGCUUUUGCGAUGCCGGGCACACUGGGGGGNCUGCCGGCGCUAAGCCGGAGGAAGGUGCGGGCAACGGCAGGUCCGUAUGCCCUCGAAUCCCCCGGGCUACACGCGGGCUACAAUCUGACGGGACAAUGGGUACCGACCCCGAAAGGGAUAGGUNAUCUCCUAANCCCGGUCUAACCUGGGAUCGAGGGCUGCAACUNGCCCUCGUGAACCUGGAAUCCNNAGUAAUNNNNNCCUCNNNNAUGGCGC